rnacentral:lncRNA from 1 species
AUUAAUUGUAUAUUUUUUAUAUCCAUUUUCUAAUUUUCUAAAUAUACGUAAUUUAUCAUAGUUGAUGUAUAGGUUUGGUAUGUAAGUAUUUGUAAGAGUAGGUAGGUAGGUGUGGUAUGUAAUUUAUUCUAGUCAUAAAAUAUUUAUCAAAUAUUUUUUCCAAUAUGAUUUUUCUUCUAUCUACAAUUUCUAUAUCCUUAAGUAUAUACAAAACAAGUAUUUUGAAUUUAUCUAUCAUUUUGUCAAAUAAAUAAGUAUUCAUUUUUCAUAUGAUGCUUUUUCAAAAUAUUCCCUUCAAUCAUACACAUAACAAAAUAUGAUCAUUUUAGAUUACUAUAUACUAUAUUAUUCUUAAAUAACAGGUUCUUCGGUCACUAUUAG